rnacentral:rRNA from 1 species
GAUGAACGCUGGCGGCGUGCCUAAUACAUGCAAGUCGAGCGAACGGACGAGAAGCUUGCUUUUCUGAUGUUAGCGGCGGACGGGUGAGUAACACGUGGAUAACCUACCUAUAAGACUGGGAUAACUUCGGGUAACCGGAGCUAAUACCGGAUAAUAUUUUGAACCGCAUGGUUCAAAAGUGAAAGACGGUCUUGCUGUCACUUAUAGAUGGAUCCGCGCUGCAUUAGCUAGUUGGUAAGGUAACGGCUUACCAAGGCAACGAUGCAUAGCCGACCUGAGAGGGUGAUCGGCCACACUGGAACUGAGACACGGUCCAGACUCCUACGGGAGGCAGCAGUAGGGAAUCUUCCGCAAUGGGCGAAAGCCUGACGGAGCAACGCCGCGUGAGUGAUGAAGGUCUUCGGAUCGUAAAACUCUGUUAUUAGGGAAGAACAUAUGUGUAAGUAACUGUGCACAUCUUGACGGUACCUAAUCAGAAAGCCACGGCUAACUACGUG